rnacentral:rRNA from 2 species
AACGAACGCUGGCGGCAUGGAUUAGGCAUGCAAGUCGAACGGUCGUAGCAAUACGAUAGUGGCGAAAGGGUGAGGAACGCGUGAGUAACCUGCCCCCAAGUUGGGAAUAACAGUUGGAAACGACUGCUAAUACCUGAUGUGAUCAUCCGAGGGCAUCUUUGGAUGAUUAAAGAUUUAUUGCUUGGGGAUGGGCUCGCGUCCCAUUAGGUAGUUGGUGAGGUAACGGCCCACCAAGCCUGCGAUGGGUAGCUGGUCUGAGAGGAUGGUCAGCCACACUGGGACUGAGACACUGCCCAGACUCCUACGGGAGGCUGCAGUCGAGAAUCUUCCGCAAUGCGCGAAAGCGUGACGGAGCAAUGCCGCGUGCCGGAUGAAGGUCUUCGGAUCGUAAACGGCUGUCAGAUGUGACGAAUAAAUGACGGUAGCAUCAAAGGAAGCCACGGCUAACUACGUG